UACGAAGGGGGCUAGCGUUGCUCGGAAUCACUGGGCGUAAAGGGUGCGUAGGCGGGUCUUUAAGUCAGGGGUGAAAUCCUGGAGCUCAACUCCAGAACUGCCUUUGAUACUGAAGAUCUUGAGUUCGGGAGAGGUGAGUGGAACUGCGAGUGUAGAGGUGAAAUUCGUAGAUAUUCGCAAGAACACCAGUGGCGAAGGCGGCUCACUGGCCCGAUACUGACGCUGAGGCACGAAAGCCAGGGGAGCAAACAGG
rnacentral:rRNA from 1 species